CAGGACGAACGCUGGCGGCGUGCCUAAUACAUGCAAGUCGAACGAACGGAGGAAGAGCUUGCUCUUCCAAAGUUAGUGGCGGACGGGUGAGUAACACGUGGGCAACCUGCCUGUAAGUUGGGGAUAACUCCGGGAAACCGGGGCUAAUACCGAAUGAUARAGUGUGGCGCAUGCCACGCUUUUGAAAGAUGGUUUCGGCUAUCGCUUACAGAUGGGCCCGCGGUGCAUUAGCUAGUUGGUAGGGUAAUGGCCUACCAAGGCAACGAUGCAUAGCCGACCUGAGAGGGUGAUCGGCCACACUGGGACUGAGACACGGCCCAGACUCCUACGGGAGGCAGCAGUAGGGAAUCUUCCGCAAUGGACGAAAGUCUGACGGAGCAACGCCGCGUGUAUGAAGAAGGUUUUCGGAUCGUAAAGUACUGUUGUUAGAGAAGAACAAGGAUAAGAGUAACUGCUUGUCCCUUGACGGUAUCUAACC
rnacentral:rRNA from 1 species